rnacentral:lncRNA from 10 species
UUAAGGAGGAUGGCGCUCUGAAGGAAGACUGACAUGUUCCUGGAAGGAAAGGCUGAAAACUGGGGUCCAUAUGUGAUAUUUUCUCAUGUCAAUUCCUCUACAUUAACUCAGUUUCCUAAGUUGCCCUGAUUCCAGUCUAGUAUUUUCUUAUAUUUUAAGUAAAUUUUUAUACUGAAGUAUAAUAUUGACACAGAAAUGUACAUAAAUCAUUAAGCAUACAGCUCAAUUAAUUUGUAAAAAGUGAGCACACCCAUAUAAUCACUGCCCACGCCUGGAAAUAGAACUCUAGCAACACCGGAAAGCCUCCUUCAUGCUUUUAUCCAGUCAUUAUUCCAUCCCCAAAUGCAAACGCCAAUUGUAUUAUUAUUGCUAUAGAUUAGCUUUGCAUAUUUUUAACUUUAUAUGUAAGGUUUUAAAACAUGUACUCUUUUGUGCCUGGUUUCUUUUGCUCAGUUUUAUGUUUGUGGCAUUCAUCUAUCUUGUUUGUAGUAGUAGUUAAUUCAUAUCAUAAUUUGCUCAUUUUACUCUUGAUAGACAUUUGAGUUGUAUCCAAUAAAUGAAC